rnacentral:rRNA from 1 species
UACGGAGGGAGCUAGCGUUGUUCGGAUAUACUGGGCGUAAAGCGCACGUAGGCGGCGCCGUAAGUCAGGGGUGAAAUCCCGGAGCUCAACUCCGGAACUGCCCUUGAAACUGCAGUGCUAGAAUCUUGGAGAGGCGAGUGGAAUUCCGAGUGUAGAGGUGAAAUGCGUAGAUACUGGGAGGAACACCAGUGGCGAAGGCGGCUACCUGGACCGGUUCUGACGCUGAGGCGCGAAAGCGUGGGUAGCAAACAGG